rnacentral:rRNA from 1 species
GACGAGCGGCGGACGGGUGAGUAACGCGUAGGAAAUCUGCCUAGUAGUGGGGGACAACAUGUGGAAACGCAUGCUAAUACCGCAUACGCCCUACGGGGGAAAGGAGGGGAUCUUCGGACCUUUCGCUAUUAGAUGAGCCUGCGUAAGAUUAGCUAGUUGGUGGGNUAAAGGCUCACCAAGGCGACGAUCUUUAGCUGGUCUGAGAGGAUGAUCAGCCACACUGGGACUGAGACACGGCCCAGNCUCCUACGGGAGGCAGCAGUGGGGAAUAUUGGACAAUGGGCGCAAGCCUGAUCCANCCAUGCCGCGUGUGUGAAGAAGGCCUUCGGGUUGUAAAGCACUUUCAGAAGUGAGGAAGGGUGACUGGCUAAUAUCCAGUUAUCUUGACGUUAGCUUCAGAAGAAGCACCGGCUAACUCUGUGCCAGCAGCCGCGGUAAUACAGAGGGUGCGAGCGUUAAUCGGAAUUACUGGGCGUAAAGCGCGCGUAGGUGGUUUGUUAAGUCGGAUGUGAAAGCCCAGGGCUCAACCUUGGAA